rnacentral:lncRNA from 1 species
GGGAAGUUAAAUUAAUAAGGGUGAUUUAUUUUAAAAUAUUCCAAUUUCAGUGUUAUCUUAAAUAUGUAUUUUUAAACUUAAGGCUUUUAACUCACUUUUGCUUAUCUGUAUAGUAAAACUUACCAGAAUAUCUGGUUUUCAUUUACUUAACAAUAUUAAUAUUUUCAAAGGAUUAUUUCCUCUUUUCAUAUGAAGGUUUUUCACUUGUGUCCAAUGCAUGUGCAGUUUUUUUUUUAAUCUGGCUUAAUCAAAACCUGCCCUCAAUUUGAUGAUGUGAGACUAGUCCAAAGGUUAGAGAAGUAUGUUUAUUUUAAAGAUGAGAUAUCUAUUAGAACUUCAAGAAGACAGGAAGAACUCCUGAUGCCCUCAUUCACCA